rnacentral:misc_RNA from 1 species
GAAAUGCGAUAAGUAAUGUGAAUUGCAGAAUUCCGUGAAUCAUCGAAUCUUUGAACGCACAUUGCGCCCCCUGGCAUUCCGGGGGGCAUGCCUGUCCGAGCGUCAUUUCUGCCCUCAAGCACGGCUUGUGUGUUGGGUGUGUUCCCCCCGGGGACCUGCCCGAAAGGCAGCGGCGACGUCCGUCUGGUCCUCGAGCGUAUGGGGCUCUGUCACUCGCUCGGGAAGGACCUGCGGGGGUUGGUCACCACCAUAUUUCACCACGGUUGACCUCGGAUCAGGUAGGAGUUACCCGCUGAACUUAAGC